rnacentral:guide_RNA from 1 species
ACAACAAACUCAAUUGUAAUAUGAGAUGACGAUAAUGAGAGAAUUUAAU